rnacentral:miRNA from 1 species
AGAGGCAGGCAGAUCUCUGUGAGUUCGAGGCCAGCCUGGUCUACAGGGCAAGUUCCAGGACAGCCAGGGCUGCACAGAGAAACCCUGUCUCAAG